AGCUGUUUUCCAUACACGCCUUCAUUAAGACUGGAGAGACCACCCGACAGUUACCAUUGGUGUUUUGUGUAAUGUCGGGUAAAAGCCAAGACGACUAUUAUAAGUUUCCAUAUUAGAUGCCAUAGCAAAUCAAAGAUCAUAUAAUAAAAUAAGUCAAAAAACCCAAAUAUGGAAAAAGAAAGAGCUGAAGAAAUGGUGAUUUGAGCACCUAUGCUUUCUCAUAGGUGUUUUUGGAGGUUUCCAUAUUAGAUGCCAUAGCAAAUCAAAGAUCAUAUAAUAAAAUAAGUCAAAAAACCCAAAUAUGGGAAAAGAAAGAGCUGAAGAAAUGGUGAUUUGAGCACCUAUGAUUUCUCAUAGGUGUUUUUGGAGGUUAACUACAUCAGAAAGAUCAAGACAGUUGGAAAUGCCUAUUCAUAUUAUGGAAACUUUUUCUCACAGGGCUUGAUAAUCA